rnacentral:lncRNA from 1 species
AUGGGGGUGCCUGGGUCGGGAGGGUCUGGCAGCAGAUCAGAGCCCUGUCCUGGGGUCAGGCCAGGGGACCUGGGCAGGAAUGCAGGAUGUGGGACACAGGACAGGAGUCCUGGACCCAGGACACAGGACACGGGGCGGGCCAGCUCAGCCUCGGGCUGGACUCAGCUGCCGGCCAGGCUGCCCCGCCUCUGGCGCCGCGUCCGUGGGGCGUGUAGGGCCCGGAGCCGCUGCAGGGGCUGUGCGGCAAGUGCCCCCGGGAGACGCUGCCCAGGCCCUGGCACAGGGGGCGGCCUGUCGGGGAGCUGGGGUCCCCCGGCCGGGCUGCGCACGGGGCAGCAGACCCAGCCCACAGCUGGCACCAGUGUAAGGUGUGAGAACCGUCUGGGCACGUCCGGUGGGCAGGGGGCCGAGGCUGCGCACCCCAUGGAAGGGCCGGCUGGGUGGGCCCUGCUGACCUCACCGCGGCUCUCGGGGGGCCUGGGCUUGGUGUUUAUUUUUGGGCAUCGUGACGGCGUCUCUGAGGAAGCAUUGGCCCGGGGGCUGUUGCUCCCACCCAGGGUGGUGGCUGGGGUGCCGAUGGAGCCCGAGCCCUGGGCGACCCAGCACGAGCAGGGUGGCCUGCAGCGGCCCGCCGGGCUCUGGAGGCCUUGGCCGGUGGCACCGCUGGCAGGGCCAGUGGUGGCGAGAGCGGAGGAGCAGAGCCGGUCAGAGGGUCCAGGCCGUGCCCCAGCCCCCCAUGCCUGGCCCCCCAGGCCCUGUGCCUUGGUGACCCUGGGCGGGAGCUGGCGCAUGUCCCUGGGCCUGAGGGAUCUAGGGGUGCGGAGCCCGUCCCAGCUGGGCUUGUCCUGCGGGGACGACCCGGGGCAGUCCCCCUGGGCCGCGGGCAGCCGCUGCCGAUGGCUCUGGCCGCACAGACCCGCCGAGUCUGCUUCUGCGGGCGGCAGCUGCCCGCCUGUGGGUGGGAGCCCGCCCGGGACUGGCCUAGCCCCCGCCCGCCCUGCCUCCGCGCCCCCACCCCGGGAAUCUCGGUCAGCCGGGCGUGGGUGGGCGGGUGCGGGCUCGGCUAGGAAGCCAGCAUCAGCUCGGGGCGGGCGAGGCGCGGGCUCCGGGGCCCCUCUGCACACGUGUCCCCUGGGGGUCCCGGGUCUGGCCGCGGCCCGAGGCUCCCUGGGAGCUGCGUCCCUGCUGCCCAGCCGGGGCUUGGGGCUUGCCUGGCGGACACACAGCCUCUACCCACCUGGGGCGGGCUCCUGUGGCCCGGCCGAGGCCGCUCUCCUGGGCCGGGGGGGCGCAGCCCGGAGCCUGCUUACCCCUGCGCCCUCGGCGCCCUCAUGGUCCCUGGGGGACGGAAGGGAGAAGCCCGUGAGGCGGUCUGAGGACCCUACCAGCCGCCCGCAGCCCUGGGGGGGGAGUGAGCUGGCCUGGCGAGCGUCUCAUGGGGAAGGAAUGCCCCCGGGGGGCCGGGGCUCUGAUGACUCAAGGGGGGGUCCACGCUGGGGCCCAUGUCUGUCCCCCACCGUGGCGGGGUGGGAACACGCAGCCGGUCCAGGGCAGGGCGGGGGCCCGAGGCCCCGCAGUGGCCACAGGUAA